rnacentral:tRNA from 1 species
GUCUGGGUGGCUUAAUCGGUUAAGCAUCUGACUUUGGCUCAGGCCAUGAUCUCGCGGUUUGUGGGUUCGAGCCCCGCAUCGGGCU